rnacentral:lncRNA from 1 species
UCUUCCCUGUGCAGACAUCCACUUCUUCUCUCCCUGAUCCAAAUCACGAAAUAGUGUUGACGGUUCCCCUGCGCUCCUCCCCUCUGCUUCUAGCGGCGCACAGCAGCCCCGGUCGGUGUUCUGGCGAUCCCAAAGCCCCAUGCCCAGGUACGAAGCCCCCCUUUCCCCAGCGAUCCUUCUCCUUCCCCAUGGAGACUAGCCCCUGCUAGGAAGCCGGCGCAGGAUCCAUGUAGGGCAGCCCUUCUCUUUCCGCGUGUGGCCCUGCCUCUGGCCCUGCAGCCGCGACAUGCUAGCACAAGACCCAGGGAAAGCGUGCCGAUCAGAACCGCCCAUACACCAUCGUUCGCGUCGUGCCGCGCUAUGCCUGUUGUCGUUCCGUCCGCCGUUGUCGAAGUCGCGUCGUGCCGUGCUGCUCCUGCUAUCGCGCCGUCCGCCGUUGUCGAAGUCGCAUCGUGUCGCGCUGCUCCUGCUGUCGCACCGUCUGCCGCCGUCGAAGUCGCGUCGUCACGUCGAGGUGAGUGUCACUCCUCUCCCUCCCGUGCGAGAUCGUGUGGAGCAGGCAGCCAUUGGAGCGGCUCCUAUGGUGCAGCCCCAUGUGGCUAGCCCGAGCUCGCCCCCUACACGGCCGCUACCCGCGGUAGUACGGUGGUCAGCCGCUCAGCCACCUCCACUCCCCUGCUCACGCCAAGUGCGUCCCCUACCCCUGGUCGCCCCUAACCCCAUGCUAGUGGAGGUGCUGCUCGCCGGCCGAGCAGCCGUGGCCCCCAAAGCUCCCCUGCGCGCGAAUCUCCAACUCAUCUCCCAGCGCGCAGCCAUGGCGGGUGUGGCCGAGGUCCCCUGCGCAUGGCCAGCGCCCAGCUUGCCCCUCCCCCUGCGUGUCCCGGUGCAGCCGAUGGCCAGCGACCGGCGCAGUGACCUGCCCUGUCCUCGGCUCCCUUCCAACCUGGCCAGCUUCCCCUGGUGGCCUAGCCAAGCCCCUGCCCCUCACGGCGGCUUCCUGAGCCCUAGGAAGAAGGAGAGAAAUCUGCCGUUGUGAGUGCGCCUGGAAAAAAGGGAAACAACCCACGGUCCCACCUGCAUGUCGUUCUUUCCGUGAACGUGAUACUCUUGCCAUGCGUUUGGAGAAAGCAUUUGGCCCCAUGUGCAUGCACGAUCCCCUACAUGCAGCUAAUAGAAAUUUAACCUCACACCAUCCCUUUGACCUUCUGUGCCCAAGAUCCUGUGGUCACCCUUGUGGCCAAGCGCAGACCAAUCAGAUUAUGACACAUCUCCUUUAAACCGUGAUAUACUAAACACACGAUAUCUCUUACGUUAUAUGUCCGAUACACUCUAUUCAAGUUGCGUUAGAUUUAUAUUAAUGUUGUCUAUGCGUUAAAAAUACUGUUCCAUCAUUUCAUAUGUUUCGAAUAAUCUAUUAAAUAUUUGUUUUAAAAUUAGUUUUCCAAUUGAAACUAAUUUAUAGUUCUUUUACCCGAGCUUUUAUAAAUAAAUACUAAGUUGAUUAAUACCAACCAAAAUAUUUAGAAUUAAUACUUGGCUAGUAUAAACGUGAUAUCUGUUAGUGAUUCUCGCUUGUCGCGCGUCGUUCGUGCGUGCUGUUCGCACGCGUCGUCACACUGUCUGCACGCUGUCCGCGCGUGAUGUGCUCGUGGUCACUUGCUAAUUCGCGUUGGUCGUGCGCACCGUUUUCGUGCAUCGUUCGCGUGCUAUGUCGCGCGUGUCCGCGCGUCGUUUGCAUGCCGUCGUGUUGUUUCGCGCGUCAUAAAUUCGUCUCGCCUAGAAUCUUUCGUUUUAAUUAAAUUGCUUAUUUGAAUGACAGUAGUUAGUGUAGCAGAUUAAUCAAAACUAAAUGGUAGAUAUAAUUUAUAUUUGAUAACACCGAAUUAAAUAUCUUGACUAUUACUUGUUUAGAGUAAACGCGCUAACCCCCGACCGUAGCUCCGACUUUCGCGUUUCUUAUCCUCGCAUAACCGUAGAAGCGCUCUCUAUUUUAUAUUGCUCGUUUUUAUGCCAUGUUAUCUUGUAUGGUGUAAUGUUCUUAUGCAUGUAUAUGUUUGUUUGUCUGUAUCUGUUCGUAUUCGCUGUGCGUCGCCAAUAGAUCAUGAUUUUUUUCCGAGCUUUGAGGAAUCGACAAUCAAGCUUUGACGACCAAGUGACCAAACUCUUCGA